CUACGUGCCAGCAGCCGCGGUAAUACGGAGGGUGCGAGCGUUAAUCGGAAUAACUGGGCGUAAAGGGCACGCAGGCGGACUUUUAAGUGAGGUGUGAAAUCCCCGGGCUUAACCUGGGAAUUGCAUUUCAUACUGGGUCGCUAGAGUACUUUAGGGAGGGGUAGAAUUCCACGUGUAGCGGUGAAAUGCGUAGAGAUGUGGAGGAAUACCGAAGGCGAAGGCAGCCCCUUGGGAAUGUACUGACGCUCAUGUGCGAAAGCGUGGGGAGCAAACAGGAUUAGAUACCCUGGUAGUCCACGCUGUAAACGAUGUCGAUUUGGGGGUUGAACUUUAGGUUUGGCGCCCGUAGCUAACGUGAUAAAUCGACCGCCUGGGGAGUACGGCCGCAAGGUUAAAACUCAAAUGAAUUGACGGGGGCCCGCACAAGCGGUGGAGCAUGUGGUUUAAUUCGAUGCAACGCGAAGAACCUUACCUACUCUUGACAUCCAGA
rnacentral:rRNA from 1 species